UACGAAGGGGGCUAGCGUUGCUCGGAAUCACUGGGCGUAAAGGGUGCGUAGGCGGGUUUUUAAGUCAGAGGUGAAAUCCUGGAGCUCAACUCCAGAACUGCCUUUGAUACUGAAAGUCUUGAGUAUGGGAGAGGUGAGUGGAACUGCGAGUGUAGAGGUGAAAUUCGUAGAUAUUCGCAGGAACACCAGUGGCGAAGGCGGCUCACUGGCCCAUAACUGACGCUGAGGCACGAAAGCGUGGGGAGCAAACAGG
rnacentral:rRNA from 1 species